rnacentral:lncRNA from 1 species
UUUUUUUGCAAACACCCCCUCCCCUCCUCAAAGUUGGGGAAUGAAGUUUGGUUCGCCCGGGACGCGCAGGCUGGACGCCGGCGCCCUGCGAUCCCCAACCUGGGGCCGUCUUUUCCCUUGGCCGGCCCCAGAUCCACUCACCUGCCCUUCGAACCCCAGCCGGGACACUUUCCCCUUCCAUCCGUGGCCUGCAUUACUGUGCCGCCCACCGUCUGCUCCAGGGCUUCUAGAAAUCGGGACAUGGCCUUCAUUUGGUCUGAUUUUCUGAGUCUCUCAAACUGCUGCUGCAGGGUCCCUGGAGACAGCUCGUUUCUCCUGGAAGAAUCGCCAAAGUCAGCUUCAGCAGUUUCUUUGCUGGGAAGGCAGAGGAAGCCAGGAGAGGCCCAUCAGAAUGGACUUCACCACUUCAUCGGCCCAGGUCGCGAUGCGGAAGCACCGAGAAUCAUCGGAGCUGGAAAGUAUAGUCCAGUGGUGUGCUAGGAAAGAAGGGGAGAAGGCCUUUUGGCCUCUGCCACGUCUCUUGACUUGGACACCUUCCCACUGCUGCUGACAGCAAUCAGACACCUGCUCCCUGAGCCCAUGGCAGCCAGCAUGCCUCUUCUACAGCACUCGCCACCCUCUCUCAGGUAUGCCCUCUGUCUCCUGGCUCCUAACAUAGUCCCUAGGGAAUAGUAGGUACUCAGUAACUGCAUAGUGAAUGAAUGGAUGCAUGAAUUGCACACUGUUGAAAUGUGUGCCUGUCAUCCGGUCAGCGCAGGGAGAACAUACGCAAUGACCAAGGUAGGGCUGGAAGCUUUUUUUUUUUAAGGAAGAUCAGUCCUGAGCUAACAUCUGCCAAUCCUCCUUUUUUGCUGAGGAAGACUAGCCCUGAGCUAACAUCUGUGCCCAUCUUCCCCUGCUUUAUAUGUGGGACACCUGCCACAGCAUGGCUUGAUGAGCUGUGCCAUGUCCGCGCCCGGGAUCCAAACCGGCGGAUCCCGGGCCGCCAAAGGGGAAUGUGCGCACUUAACCGCUGCGCCACCAGGCCGGCCCCUGGGAACAUUUUAACAGCCUAUGUAGAUGGGCCAGAGCAAUGAGAUUGAAUUUACCUAGUGCAAAAUAACACAAAGUCUACCUCUAGUUUCAAAAAACCGGUUGCCCAAACAAACAGUGGAUGAUACUUGAAAGGGUACAGUCCAUAUUCAAAAAAGCCAGUAGGGGAUGGGUCUUAGUGGGCCACAAGCUAAUGUGAAAUAAGAUUGUGACAGAGAUGCUAAGAUGGGACCGCAUUUCCUAAGUAGAAGCUGGGUCGAGAUCGAUGCAUUGGAGCCUCCCUGUAGGUUUUGGGCUCGCUCAGGUCACAUCUGGGGCGUGAUGUUCAUUUGGUCUAGGACUUCAGUUUACAAAGCGUUUUCCCAGGCACCAUCUUGUUGCACUGUCCCAACGAGAUGGUUUACGUACCGGCAAGGGCAAGCCGACUUGCUCAAGGUCCCCUAGCUGGCGGGUGGCAGAGCCCAGCUUUCUGCCCCCUUGUCCAUACUCUUUCCGCUUCAUCGUGCCGCGUUAUGCAGACCAGAGCUCCUGCUGUGCAGCAUCUAAAAGCAAGACCGGCACGAUGCUUGUCAAGCGCUGUCAACAGGGGACACGCUCAGAUGGGCACCUCGCCAUCAGGCAGCCCGACAGUGAUGGCUCAGAAACCAUGUUUCCUAACGCAGGAGGGCUGUGACGGGCCAAGUCACACCCGCAGCACAGUGACACUGCCUGUUUCAAAACUGACAGCGAGCGUGGAACGUCACCUCACCUCUGAGUGAGCCCAGGAAGCGACAACUCUCCGUGGCCAGGAAUCUCAGCUCCUCAGAUUCCGUGGAAAGGAGUAGCGAGCUGGUCCUAAAGGAGGAAGAGGAAAUGGAAACGAGCUAAACUGUCAGCUGCCUAGUGAGUGUCUGGCUCAAGACUCCUCACGUUUGCUUGAUCUCCUGUUUUUAACGCAGUACCUUUCUCUGCAGCCUCUCUGCUCACCCUGGUCACCAUUUGACUCCUCCGCCCCCUGGCGUUGGGUUGUUAUCAUAAUCCUUCACAUCCAUCUGGCUUCCCUCAACGGUUAUCUUAUUCACUCUCCUAAAAAAAAAAAAAUCCUGUGAGGAAAGAAGAAAACUGCACAACUCACUUUUGUGUGGAGUCUAAAAAAGUCGAAUACAGAGAAGCAGAGAGCAGGCUGGUGGUUGCCAGGGCAGGGAGGUGGGGGAGUGGAGAGAUGAGGUCAAAGGGGGCGGAAGUGUGGUUAUGUAGGGUGACUUAAGUCUAGAGAGCUAGUGUCCAGCCCGAUGGCUGUGGUUAAUAAUACUGUAUAGUUACUGGAAAUAUGCGAAGAGUAGAAUUCAAGAGCUUUCAUCACAAAAAAUGACUAUAUGAGGAGAUAGCAUGUUAGCUCAAAUAAUAAUCAUUUCACUAUGUUUAUGUGUAUCAAAUCAUCAUUUUUAUCAAAAGCGAGAGAAGAGAAAACAAAAAAAAUGCAAAAAAAGCCUGUGAGAUGGGAAGGGCAGAGAUUAUUCUCUCAUUUCACAAUGACGCACAAGACUGCCCUUCCGUCCUUUUGUCCAUCCAUCCGUCCAUCAUCCAUCAUCCAUCCAUCUAUCCAUCCUUUCAUUCAUUCAUUCAUUCAAAAAAUAUUUAUUAAACUACUCCUGUGUGCUAGCAACUUUGUAAUGCUCUAGGGGAGCAAAGAUGUCUGGGAAGCUCUUGAGAGAGAUAUCAACGCAUGGAAGAAAAAGAGGGAGCCUAUUUUGGGUUUACAAGCGGGAAGUCCAUGCUGUCAGAGGAAGGGGUGGUGGAUGUCAUUGCAGACCACGGCCAGCAGGUGGCACUCCGGGUCCCACGAAGCCCAAGAGCCCUUCCAGCCUUCCAGGCCCAGCUUUCAUUUCGUAUUCAUUACGGUACUUAAAAUCAAAUUCUAAGUCAUAUCAUUGAAAGGCUGCAUUCAAUUUGAUUUUAAUUCAAUUUAUUUGCCGUUAAUUGUUCCGUGCACUUCUAAAAAUGGUCAAAUUAAAUCUGGUCGUAUCAGGGCUUUCUGGGUAAGAGAAAGACGUCCAGGGAACUCAGACUCCUGCAUAAACUAGCACCUCCAGUGAGUGGUUCUAGGUCCCGGUUCCGUUCUUAGGAAAUGCUCGUGAAAAGGUAAUGCUAUUGGGAAAAGAUCCGGAAGGACAUCCUCUAAGAUGUUAAUUGUGGUAUCUCCCAGUGGUGGGACUACCAAUUUUUUUUUCUUUUAAAUACUGUGUGUACUUUAUUUAUUUUUUAGAAUGAACAGGUAUUAAUUUUCAUGCUUGUCUUCCGUUUUUCAUUGAAUAAAACCUACAAAUGGAAAAAUACAAAUCUUAAAUGAACAGCUUGGAUUCAUAUAUUUAUACACAUGCAGAAUCUUCACUCAGAUCAAGAUCCACAUUACCAAGACCCCAAAAUCUCCCUCGAGUCCCUUCCCAGGAUCCUCCACCCCCCCGCAGGAGCCACUCCAUCACCAUGGCUUAGUUUUGCCUGCUUUUGAACUUCAUAUAAAUGGAAUCAUACAGGAUGUCCUCUUUUGUGUCUGGACUCUUGUUCAAUAAUAUUCUUUAAGUUGAUGUGUAUAAAUACACAAAAACUCACCAAUCUGUUCUGUUGCUGUGUUUACGUAAGUGGAAGUCUAUUCUUUUUCAUUGGUGUGUAGUAUUCCAUUGUGUGACUAUAUAUUGCAGGUAUGUAUUUUUAUGAUCAGAAAAAAAUUUACUAAAAAUGAUUAAAUAUAGAUAUGGAAACUGCUUCCUUGCUGGAGGCCAAGGAGACAUUUCAACUGCAAGGUAAUCCUCAGAGUACAUGGGCAUGACAGCCAGGUAGGAAUCUGCUUAGGCACAGGAGCCCAGGGUCUGUAAGAGAAUGAGGAUUAGCUAAUUGUCGGUCAGCAGGUUAGGCUAGUUCUGGCUCUCCAACUGGCAGGUCACUUACAUCGCUUGUUCUCACUGAGCCUCAAUUUCCUCAUCUGCAAAAUGCGUAGCAGUACCAGAGUUAGAGGAAAAAAAGAAAAGAGAGAAAAAAAAUAGAACAUCUAGUUAAAUUUGAAUUUCAGAUAACAAUGAAUAAUUUCUUAGUAGAAGUAUGUCCUGAGUAUUGCCUGGGACCUACUUAUCCUCAAGAGUUACUCAUUGUUUAUUAGCAAUUCAGAUGUAGCUGUAUUUUACCUGGCAAACCCCAAAACAGGUAUAGUGAUCAUCCCUGCUUACGAGAUAACAAUUGUUUGUGAGGAAGUGUUCAUAGGCAGAAAAGCACGUGCAGAUGAAAGAAUCUGGAGAGGGCCAGAAAGGCAGAGGAGGACCCCUGGGUUCAGAAUUGAGCCCUGUGAGCCCC